AGUGAACGCUGGCGGUAGGCCUAACACAUGCAAGUCGAACGGCAGCACAGUAAGAGCUUGCUCUUACGGGUGGCGAGUGGCGGACGGGUAAGGAAUACAUCGGCAUCUACUUUUUCGUGGGGGAUAACGUAGGGAAACUUACGCUAAUACCGCAUACUACCUACGGGUGAAAUCAGGGGAUCUUCGGACCUUGCCCGAUUGAAUGAGCCGAUGUCGGAUUAGCUAGUUGGCGGGGUAAAGGCCCACCAAGGCGACGAUCCGUAGCUGGUCUGAGAGGAUGAUCAGCCACACUGGAACUGAGACACGGUCCAGACUCCUACGGGAGGCAGCAGUGGGGAAUCUUGGACAAUGGGCGCAAGCCUGAUCCAGCCACACCGCGUGGGUGAAGAAGGCCUUCGGGUUGUAAAGCCCUUUUGUUGGGAAAGAAAAGCAGCAGGUUAAUCCCCCGCUGUUCUGACGGUACCCAAAGAAUAAGCACCGGCUAACUUCGUG
rnacentral:rRNA from 1 species